rnacentral:rRNA from 1 species
GAAGCUUCGGCCAGGGCACGUCUGCCUGGGCGUCA